rnacentral:rRNA from 1 species
UACGGAGGGAGCUAGCGUUGUUCGGAAUUACUGGGCGUAAAGCGCACGUAGGCGGCUUUGUAAGUUAGAGGUGAAAGCCCGGGGCUCAACUCCGGAACUGCCUUUAAGACUGCAUCGCUUGAAUCCAGGAGAGGUGAGUGGAAUUCCGAGUGUAGAGGUGAAAUUCGUAGAUAUUCGGAAGAACACCAGUGGCGAAGGCGGGUCUCUGGACAGUUCCUGACGCUGAGGCACGAAGGUCAGGGGAGCAAACGGG